UACGUAGGGGGCGAGCGUUGUCCGGAUUUAUUGGGCGUAAAGAGCUCGUAGGCGGCUCGGUAAGUCGGAUGUGAAAUCUCCAGGCUUAACCUGGAGAGGCCAUUCGAUACUGCUGUGGCUUGAGUCCGGUAGAGGAGCAUGGAAUUCCCGGUGUAGCGGUGAAAUGCGCAGAUAUCGGGAGGAACACCAGUAGCGAAGGCGGUGCUCUGGGCCGGUACUGACGCUGAGGAGCGAAAGCGUGGGGAGCGAACAGG
rnacentral:rRNA from 2 species